CUAGCUAAUGGUUAGGAUGGAGACUGCUUCGUUGCUGCUGUCAAACCCCAUGUGGAAGAUCAGAAAACGUGGCCAGGAGUUGUGAGAGAAGGUAAUGCUGAGAUGAAGGACAUCAUACCACAAGACUAUUUGUGUGUGUAUAAGCCUGAUCAACAAGUAAAAAGAGUCAGAUCUCUCAAUUGCCAUGAUGACCAAGAUAUUCAAUGGGGAAAUGUGGAAAGCUGCCAUAUUCCCAGUCAUUACUUUUCUGAAUCAUCUGUGCAGCAGUAGCAGCAGCACCGAGGAAUCCUACUUUCCUGAGUCCGACACAGAGAAGGCCAUCAAGGACUUCCCUGACUGGCAACAGACUGGAGUAGAGGCUGUAGCAGAGACAGCCUUUUUUUUUUUUUUUUUACUGAAAUAAUUGACAUUAUGAUGGACAGUGGACAAUAUGAUAAGCAGUACUUGAAUUUGUUCAGUAGUAUUAGUGUGACAAUCAGUUUUUGUUCUCCAACCUGUACAGACUGCUGUUGUGAAGCAGGGAUACACAGCUUAGUCAAAAGAGAGAAAGGCUGUAUAUUUCAGCGACUCCUUCAGAUUGAGAAAAAUAAUGACUUUUCUUAAUAAAUAAAUGUUAUUCUUUGCUCAAAAGUGUCUUUAGGUUUAAAUAACAUUAUCCUGAUCCCAUAGGUAUCCAAAAAUUGAGAAAGGCUAAGCAAGUGAUGUUUUUUUAAACUGAAACUGGGUGCACAGGUUUACAGACACAUCUCUACUGAUUGGGUAUCACCUAGAACACAACCAAUAAUUGAGACACACCCACCAAAUGAGAGAAA